ACUCGCUUCGGCCGUACGUAUAUGUACUAAAAUUGGAGCGGUACAGAGAAGAUUAGCAUGGCCCCUGCGCAAGGAUGACACAAAAUCGUGAAGCGCUCCAUAUUUUU